GGAAAUAGUCCUGAACAGGGUGUUUGUUUUUCUGAUGCCUGAUGAAACGGAGGCUAAGAGAAAUUAAGCAGCUUGCCUAAGUCAUACUACUAGGAAAGGACCAGCCUUUUCACAUGCUUUGAAGAGCAUCAAAAGGUCCCAGUGAGAAGGACAGAAGCCCCCAAUUUAGACUACUUUUGUAAACUACUCCUGGCGUUGGAGACUGUCAGACAGACACUUUGGUAUUGUCAGGGUUCCAUGCACUAAUUUGAAUUCAUCAAAGCCAGUUGUGGCUUCCCAGAUGGCGCUAGUGGUAAAGAACCCACCUGCCAAUGUGUGAAACGUAAGAGAUGCUGGUUCCUCCCUGGUUGAAAGGAUACCCUGGAGAAGGAAAUGGCAACCUAAUCCAGUAUUCGCGCUUGGAGAAUCCCAUGGACAGAGGAGCCUGGUGGGCUACCGCCCAUAGGGCUGCAAAGAGUCGGACACAACUGAAGCAGCUUAGCAUAGGAGCCAGUUGUGGACCUAACUCAUCAGGCUCGGGGGCAGUGGUUUCAUCAAUGUCUUGCCCUUGCUGACCCUCACCCCAGGCAGCUGAUAACAUUCCAGAUUGUGGCUGCUCAAUCCAUCUGGACAUUUUAGGGCAGAUCCCUGCUAUGGCACAGUCAUCUGCAGUGAACACAGUCAAGCUACAGCAUGCAGUGCCAGUUCAACAAAGAUAUAAAACUACAGCUGACCACGGAAAAUAUCAUUCACCCUUAGAUGGACACCGCUAUAAGGACUCUGAGGCUUGAGACUAGCAAGAGGGGGAGGCCCAAUACCCCUCGCUGUCCCAGUUCAGCAGGAAGUAGCCAGAAAGACCUUGACGCCCCU